rnacentral:misc_RNA from 1 species
ACAAAAAAAAAAAGUCCCAUUUCUUCAAAUUCUCUAUAGAACUCAAAUGCGUCACACAGUAACGGAAAACACUGAUGGAAGAGAAUUAAGGAUGAAUAAAAUUUAACAUAAUCAAAUGUAUUCUGCACCCCACAAGUUUAAGAUUACUGUAAUGCCCCAAAGACAAUUUAUCAUGCUAGGGCAAAUUACAAAAUGCAUUUUGAGUAAUUAACCCUGACCAAAAAAAAUAGGGGUUAAAAGGAUUAACAUUUGUGAUUGAAGCACAAGCUCAAACAUAUGAUGCACAAUCCGUUAGUCAUAUAUAUUUAAACUCCAAAACCAAGCCCACUUUCUCCCAAUGGAAUUCCUUCCAGAAAGCAAAAAGCCAGGACUAUAAGAUUCUUUUAGAAUAACUAAGGAAACGAAAACCUAACAGAAUCAUAUUAUCACAUAUCAACAGAAUCAUGUUAAGUUUUAAUUUUUAACACACUCACAAUAAAAGAAGAAAUGA